GACGAACGCUGGCGGCGUGCCUAAUACAUGCAAGUCGAGCGGACCAAAGGGAGCUUGCUCCUGGAGGUUAGCGGCGAACGGGUGAGUAACACGUGGGCAACCUGCCUGUAAGACUGGGAUAACAUCGAGAAAUCGGUGCUAAUACCGGAUAAUAAAAGAACUGCAUGGUUCUUUUUGAAGAUGGUUUCGGUCUAUCACUUACAGAUGGCCGCGGCGCAUUAGCUAGUUGGUGAGGUAACGGCUCACCAAGGCAACGAUGCGUAGCCGACCUGAGAGGGUGAUCGGCCGACACUGGGACUGAGACACGGCCCAGAUCCUACGGGAGGCAGCAGUAGGGAAUCUUCCGGCAAUGGACGAAAGUCUGACGGAGCAACGCCGCGUGAGUGAUGAAGG
rnacentral:rRNA from 1 species